rnacentral:hammerhead_ribozyme from 1 species
AUCCAGCUGAUGUGUCUCAAAUAGGACGAAACGCCCGUCAAACUGCAU